ACUCUGUGAAGCCGUGGUCUUCUUGCGCGGGAUAGGGCACCUGAGGAAGCGGGCUGCGCCUGUGGCACAGUGGUACGGGGCCGGAAGAUAACUUACCUGAAGAGGCGAUCAAUCCCUGAGAAUCGCGGGCGACCCGUUUUUUGUGUGCCCGGGUGCGGGGUGCCGGGACACGGCGUUGAAGGCGCUGAGCGGAGGGAUCUCAGGGCGAGCUCGAGCGGCGACGGCGCGCUCUGUGAUUGCACCGCGAGCGCCUGAGGUGAUCUCGGCCUACAUCGCGUCAGCGGGGCCUUGGGCGUGAGCACCGCCCCCUGUCCGGACGCAGGGUACUGGGGCACCUCGAACUGUGGCACCUCACCCUUCUCCGGGGCCACGUCUUGGGGACUCCGACAGCCCCAAAUAAGCCCUCGGGGACUGGGGUUGUGAAAAGCGAGGUCGUGAAGACGCCGGCCUCAUACCGAAGGGUAGGACGGUGAGGUCAGCCCCGUCCCACUCCAACUAAAAUCAACCUGACAGGUAUUAAUAUGCCACCAUGAAGUUAACAAAUGUUGGUGAUUAAGUAUGCUAGGUUUUACGAAAACAGAUUUUCCAAAAUAAAUGUACAUGUUUUAGGACGUCGCGAGCCGUUUGAGGCAGCAUUCCCCAAGGACGCCACUUAGUCUGUAGGUUUAGCGGCUAGAAAGAUUCAGAAGCUGAGUUCAGUCCUGCCGCCACAAUCAAUCUUCGCUCCUAUGGCUUCACAGAAGCGUCUCCCAUGACUACCAAAUUUAACUCCUUCCAGAUCACCCACGGGAGCACCUGACCGGAUUCAUUUAUUUAAUCAAUGUUAAGAACUAGGUUUUGUGCUAAGCUAGGGGAUAGAGCAGCGAAUGAGACAAAACUGCAAGGCCCUGGGGGAAUUAGUAGGAAUAUCCAGUGAAAGGGAAAUUAAUGAAUUUUAUAAGUAUACUAAUCAAGAAGUAUAUUCUUUUCCUUUGAGGUAGAAUGUAAUAUAGCACCUCCCCUACCCAAGGCCUGGGUUAAGAGUAUAUUAACUGCUUAUUUCUCCCCUAUGCGUGGAGAGGCUUAUCUGUGUUCCAUCGUUUCACAUUCCUUGAGGCACAGCGAGUUCUUGCUUCCCUCCCUAGCGCUGCUGUAAAGUCACAAAACUGAUUAGCAAGUGUUACAAAAGCAUGUAUUCCCAAGGACGUAAGACAUAUGGUGUUCGCGGUGGCUCACGCCUGUAAUCCCUGCACUUUGGGAGGCCGAGGCGGGAGGAUCACCUGAGGUCAAGAGUUCGAGACCAGCCUCACCAACAUGAUGAAACCUCGUCUCUACUAAAAAUACAAAAUAUUAGCCGGACGUGGUGGCAGACGCCUUUAAUCCCAGCUACUCGGGAGGCUGAGGCAGGAGAAUCACUUGAACCUGGGAGGCAAAGGUUGCAGUGAGCCGAGAUUGCGUCACUGUACUCCAGCCUGGGCAACAAGAGCAAAACUCUGUCUCAAAAAAAAAAAAAAAAAAAAGAAAGAAACUGUGAUAUAUAUAAAUAUAUAUUUAUAUAUUUAUAUAUGGAAUGGAAUGCUACGUGGUCACAAAAAGGAAUGAAUGAAUGGCAUUUUCAGCAACCUGGAUGGGAUUGAAGACUAUUAUUCUAAGUGAAGUAACUCAGGAAUGGAAAACAAAACAUCAUAUGUUCUCACUCCUAAGUGAGAGCUAAGCUAUGAGGAUGCAAAGGCAUAAGAAUGACACAAUGGACUAUGGGGACUCAGGGAAAGGGUGGAAGGGGGUGAGGGAUAAAAGAUUACAAAUUGGGUUCAGUGUAUACUACUCGGCGAUGGUUGCACCAAAAUCUCACAAAUCACCACUAAAGAACUUACUCAUGUAACCAAAUACCACAUUUCUUAAAACCCUAUGGAAAUAAAAAAUUAAAAAAGAAAAAAGAACCCAACAGUCUUCUAUUAAGCCAGGUGUAAAAGAGAUUUACAAAAAUCUAAAACUAUGCCAUUCUUCUCACUAAUAUUUUAUUUUUGAAAAUAUAGCUAUAGGCCGGGUGCGGUGGCUUACUCCUGUAAUCCCACCACUUUGGGAGGCCCUGGUGGGUAGAUCACAAGUUCAGGAGUUUGAGACCAGCCUGACCAACAUGGUGAAACACCAUCUCUACUAAAAAUACAAAAAUUAGCCAGGCAUGGUGGCGCGUGCCUGUAAUCCCAGCUACUCAGGAGGCUGAGGCAGGAGAAUCGCUUGAACUCGC
rnacentral:lncRNA from 1 species